UACGUAGGGUGCAAGCGUUAUCCGGAAUUAUUGGGCGUAAAGAGCUCGUAGGCGGUUUGUCGCGUCUGCUGUGAAAACUGGAGGCUCAACCUCCAGCCUGCAGUGGGUACGGGCAGACUAGAGUGCGGUAGGGGAGAUUGGAAUUCCUGGUGUAGCGGUGGAAUGCGCAGAUAUCAGGAGGAACACCGAUGGCGAAGGCAGAUCUCUGGGCUGUAACUGACGCUGAGGAGCGAAAGCAUGGGGAGCGAACAGG
rnacentral:rRNA from 1 species